AGCAUCCGCGCAGGAACCAAGCUGCCACCGGUUCCUUUCGCGCGGUGGCGCCGUUUCCCUCCGGACGCUUUCGAAUAGCACACACAGACGGAUUUGUACGCACCGGAAAAGGGGACCCAGCAGUCAAAGCAAAACAUUGAAUUGAAUCCUGCUGGUUUCUGGAACUUAUCAGUAGUGGAAGCCAGCUGGUGGCAGCUGAAGAGACCAGCUAGAGGAUGCAAGAUGGUGGCUAAAAACUGCCUGAAUUCCAUAAGAUCGAGUCUCCCAUAGGACCUCCCUUUUGGGUCAUGUGGCAGUUUGGAUAAUCUGAAAGCCCUUCUUCUAUAGAACACCUAGAAGUGCUGGAUAAAAUAAGGCA